CGGCAGCCCUAGUGGUGACCGUUUUUAUUGGGCCUAAAGCGUCCGUAGCCGGUUUGGUAAAUCUUUUGUGAAAUCAUAGGGCUUAACUCUAUGGCGUGCAGAAGACACUGCUUGACUUGGGACCGGAGAGAAGUUAGGGGUAUUCGUAGAGGAGCGGUAAAAUGCUAUAAUCCCCGGAGGACCACCUGUGGCGAAGGCGUCUGACUAGAACGGUUUCGACGGUGAGGGACGAAAGCCAGGGGAGCAAACCGGAUUAGAUACCCGAGUAGUCC
rnacentral:rRNA from 1 species